GCCUCUUUUUUUUAGCAUCUCCGUUUGAAGAAAAUCCAUAUCCAUUCUUAGUUGUAGCUCCACUUUCUACUUUGCGGUGACUACGAUUUUCGCUUUCCCAAAAGCAAGCAAGAAGCUCAAGAAAAUAAAUCUGGCCAGCUGGUUAUUGAAACCAAGCAAGAUAGCACAAAGCUCGAUGUCCCCUUAAUAUCAUAUGAGAUGAUUAAUCUGGACGCGGCAUCAUUGAAGCCGGUACAAUGGGGAUGCACGUUCUGCACUACGGGUCCUGUUUACUGGUUUUUCAUGCGGGGGUCUAUUUGAAGUACCGGAAGAACGAAUACUUCUCAUGCUCUAUGGGAUCAACAAUUGCCGGAGAAAUUGGUGCAUAUGGCUAUAGACCCUUCCGUACUCAUGGAUAUGCUUGCUGAUGAGAGAGCUGAAGUUGUUAGAAGCUUAUAUGAGGUCUUUUUCUGGGGAUUGCUCUCCUUCGGGCCUGGAAACUGCUCUGCGGUCUGACUCACUGGACCGGCCUAAUACUAAUUCUAUUGACAGGACUGAAGAAUGUAGGCAUGUCAUUAUUACAUAUAAUAGUCAUAUAUCCACGUUUCUGAAAGAUCAACGGUUGGUCUUAAUUUGUCCAUCCUAAUUUUUUGUUGAAUUUUUAAACAGCAUAGACUUGGUUAGACUAGAAGAAGAGGUAAAAUCUGCCUAACGGACGUGGUCACUCCCCACUGCUGCUCAUCAACUGCCCAUCCCAAAGCACCAUGUUUAGUUUCCAAAUUUCCAGGAUUACUAAAGCUCUCCCUCUCCAUGACAGAGUGUUGUUGAUAUGAUAAAGACUCAUUUUAGGCAGAAAGGCGCAGUCCUUGACAACCAACGAAUUCCUAACAAUUCAGUUCCAUCUCAUGACGAACAUUAGUUUCCAUAUGUAAAGCUUUUGCGAGUACGGCAAUGAUCAGCUACAAAAUGCCAGCCAGCUGAUGAUUUAAAAACCGUGAAGGACUACGGGGAUAUGCUCACAGAAUCUGUGUUCUUCAUGCCCUAAACCAAAGUUUCUUCAAACAAUCUCGGAGGAGAGAUCCGCCCUAUUUCUCAUGUUCAGCUGAUUCAGAUGUCUUAGUUCGUCCACCAAAGGCAUACAUGACAGCAGCAUUGUGCAAAGAAGGAGGAACCCUGGAGGCUCCAGAGUCAAUUCUCACGGAGGUAGACGGAGGGAAGAUGACUGGACUUGCCCUAGCCGCGAACUUUUCAUUCCGGACAACUUGCAACAUGCGUGAUUGCGCUCAACCAAGGCCAGCCGAUCAUAACUCGGUAAUAUGUGACUGUUUGUGACGUAAAUUCUCUUUAUAGCUACAUGCUCAGCUGAUAGUUGUGGCCACACUCGCAAACACAACACCAAGUAUUAUUGUGCUUGUUCCUUUCUUCCUCCUCCAAGAUUUUCUACUCGACACUUGAUAUUCCAUUGUUGUGAUUCAAUGCUAAAUAGGUUGUUCGUGUUGCGUUUGUCGAAUGCAUUUUGUCCGAAGAUACCUCCCUGCUAAUUUUUGCUUGUUUAAUUGAUGGAAUUAGUUAUGCAAAUUCAAA